rnacentral:rRNA from 1 species
GAUGAACGCUAGCGGCAGGCUUAACACAUGCAAGUCGAGGGGCAGCAUAAUGGAUAGCAAUAUCUAUGGUGGCGACCGGCGCACGGGUGCGUAACGCGUAUGCAACCUACCUUUAACAGGGGGAUAACACUGAGAAAUUGGUACUAAUACCCCAUAAUAUCAUAGAAGGCAUCUUUUAUGGUUGAAAAUUCCGAUGGUUAGAGAUGGGCAUGCGUUGUAUUAGCUAGUUGGUGGGGUAACGGCUCACCAAGGCGACGAUACAUAGGGGGACUGAGAGGUUAACCCCCCAGACUGGUACUGAGACACGGACCAGACUCCUACGGGAGGCAGCAGUGAGGAAUAUUAGUCGAUGGACGCAAGUCUGAACCAGCCAUGCCGCGUGCAGGAUGACGGCUCUAUGAGUUGUAAACUGCUUUUGUACGAGGGUAAACGCAGAUACGUGUAUCUGUCUGAAAGUAUCGUACGAAUAAGGAUCGGCUAACUCCGUG